AUUGAACGCUGGCGGCAGGCUUAACACAUGCAAGUCGAACGAGUGGCGGACGGGUGAGUAAUGCUUGGGAAUCUAGCCUAUGGAGGGGGAUAACUACGGGAAACUGUAGCUAAUACCGCGUACCAUAGGAUGACCCCAUAUUGGAUUAUCUAGUAGGUGGGGUAAAGGAUCACCUAGGCGACGAUCACUAGCUGGUCUGAGAGGAUGACGAGCAACACUGUAACUGAGACACGGGGCAAACUCCUAAGGGAGACAGGAGAGGUGAAUCUUGGACAAGGAGCGCAAGCGUAAUGCAGCCAAGCCGCGAGGAUGAAGAAGGGCUUCGGGUUGUAAAGUACUAUAAGCGAGGAGGCGUUACUCUAAGAAGAAGCACCGGAUAACUCCGUGCCAGCCGCCGCGGUAAUUC
rnacentral:rRNA from 1 species